rnacentral:rRNA from 1 species
UACGAAGGGGGCUAGCGUUGUUCGGAAUUACUGGGCGUAAAGCGCACGUAGGCGGAUAUUUAAGUCAGGGGUGAAAUCCCAGAGCUCAACUCUGGAACUGCCUUUGAUACUGGGUAUCUUGAGUAUGGAAGAGGUAAGUGGAAUUGCGAGUGUAGAGGUGAAAUUCGUAGAUAUUCGCAGGAACACCAGUGGCGAAGGCGGCUUACUGGUCCAUAACUGACGCUGAGGCGCGAAAGCGUGGGGAGCAAACAGG